rnacentral:lncRNA from 1 species
AACACAUUUUUGUCUAUACAUGUUCAUCUUUCUGUCUAUGUGUCUACAAGUUUGUCUUUAUUUUCACCAGUCCUUUAUAAUAGUCUGACUACAUUCUCAACAGUCUGGAUAUGUUUCCGCAAGUCUGUCUUUGUUCACUAGUCCGUCUACAUUUGCAUGAUCCAUCGGUCUGUCUAUGUGUCCACUAGUCUGUCUUCAUGCCCAACAGUCUGUCGACAUGGCUAUAUCGGUCUAUAUAUCUAACAAGCUGUGUCUUCAUGUCCAACAGUCUGUCGAAUCGACUGUCAGUUGAUCUAUAUGUCUACCAAGCUGUGUCUACAUGUCCAAC